GAUCAUGGCUCAGGACGAACGGCUGGCGGCGUGCUUAACACAUGCAAGUCGAGCGAUGAAGCUCUUCGGAAGUGGAUAGCGGCGGACGGGUGAGUAACACGUGGGUAACCUGCCUCAUAGAGGGGAAUAGCCUUCCGAAAGGAAGAUUAAUACCGCAUAAGAUUGUAAUAUCGCAUGAUAUAGCAAUUAAAGGAGUAAUCCGCUAUGAGAUGGACCCGCGUCGCAUUAGCUAGUUGGUGAGGUAACGGCUCACCAAGGCGACGAUGCGUAGCCGACCUGAGAGGGUGAUCGGCCACAUUGGGACUGAGACACGGCCCAGACUCCUACGGGAGGCAGCAGUGGGGAAUAUUGCACAAUGGGGGAAACCCUGAUGCAGCAAACCGCCGCGUGAGUGAUGACGGUCUUCGGAUUGUAAAGCUCUGUCUUCAGGGAUGAUAAUGACGGUACCUGAGGAGGAAGCCACGGCUAACUACGUGCCAGCCGCAGC
rnacentral:rRNA from 1 species